rnacentral:rRNA from 1 species
GACGAACGCUGGCGGCGUGCUUAACACAUGCAAGUCGAACGGAAAGGCCCUGCUUUUGUGGGGUGCUCGAGUGGCGAACGGGUGAGUAACACGUGAGUAACCUGCCCUUGACUUUGGGAUAACUUCAGGAAACUGGGGCUAAUACCGGAUAGGAGCUCCUGCUGCAUGGUGGGGGUUGGAAAGUUUCGGCGGUUGGGGAUGGACUCGCGGCUUAUCAGCUUGUUGGUGGGGUAGUGGCUUACCAAGGCUUUGACGGGUAGCCGGCCUGAGAGGGUGACCGGCCACAUUGGGACUGAGAUACGGCCCAGACUCCUACGGGAGGCAGCAGUGGGGAAUAUUGCACAAUGGGCGGAAGCCUGAUGCAGCAGCGCCGCGUGCGGGAUGACGGCCUUCGGGUUGUAAACCGCUUUCGCCUGUGACGAAGCGUGAGUGACGGUAAUGGGUAAAGAAGCGCCGGCUAACUACGUG